UACUUUAUGGUGUCCACAGGUCCGCGGUGCGGGGAAGCCGGUGUGAGUCCGGCACGGUCCCGCCACUGUGACCGGCGUCCGUCGUCGAACGGGACGCGCCCGGCCUGUCCUUCGGGCCCGAC
rfam:Kibdelosporangium phytohabitans strain KLBMP1111, complete genome.